rnacentral:rRNA from 1 species
GACGAACGCUGGCGGCGUGCUUAACACAUGCAAGUCGAACGGAAAGGCCCUGCUUUUGUGGGGUGCUCGAGUGGCGAACGGGUGAGUAACACGUGAGUAACCUGCCCUUGACUUUGGGAUAACUUCAGGAAACUGGGGCUAAUACCGGAUAGGAGCUCCUGCUGCAUGGUGGGGGUUGGAAAGUUUCGGCGGUUGGGGAUGGACUCGCGGCUUAUCAGCUUGUUGGUGGGGUAGUGGCUUACCAAGGCUUUGACGGGUAGCCGGCCUGAGAGGGUGACCGGCCACCUUGGGACUGAGAUACGGCCCAGACUCCUACGGGAGGCAGCAGGGGGGAAUAUUGCAGAAUGGGCGGAAGCCUGAUGCAGCAACCCCGCGUGCGGGAUGACGGCCUUUGGGUUGUAAACCGCUUUCGCCUGUGACGAAGCGUGAGUGACGGUAAUGGGUAAAGAAGCACCGGCUAACUACGUG